rnacentral:sRNA from 1 species
CAACCCUCUACCUGGGGUAUUUGAGCCU